rfam:Acidovorax sp. JS42, complete genome.
GGGGCUGUCCCGGUUUCGACGUGGGUUCGGAAUCGGAGCGGUGCAUGUCGAGCUUGAGUGACGCUCGUAAAUCUCCAUUCACUAAACUAACUGCAAACGACGAACGUUUCGCACUCGCCGCUUAAAUACCGGUGAGCCUUGCAACAGCACGCUGAUGGGCUGGGCAAGGGGGCCGCAAGGCCUCCAGGCUGCAAGGGAAUUUACAUCAGCUGGUGGCAUGCCGGGUACCUUGGCAUGGCAUGAGAUUCAAGGGUGCUGGCAUCUUGCGUAGCGUGUGCCUGCGCGAUGUGAGAUGUGAGAUUCAAAACAGAGCACUAAACAUGUAGAUCUGCCCGAAGAAGGCUUGCGGACGCGGGUUCAAUUCCCGCCAGCUCCACCA